AGCAGCCGCGGUAAUUCCAGCUCCAAUAGCGUAUAUUAAAGUUGUUGCAGUUAAAAAGCUCGUAGUUGAAUUUCGGGAUCAAUAUGUUGGUCGUGCCUUGGUACGUACUGGCAUUAUCGAUUCCUACCUUCUGAAGAACCUCGAUGUCAUUAAUUUGGUGUCUUGGGGAAUCAGGACUGUUACUUUGAAAAAAUUAGAGUGUUUAAAGCAGGCUCGCGCUUGAAUACAUUAGCAUGGAAUAAUGAAAUAGGACGUUUGAUUCUAUUUUGUUGGUUUCUAGGAUCGACGUAAUGAUUAAUAGGGAUAGUUGGGGGCAUUAGUAUUCAAUUGUCAGAGGUGAAAUUCUUGGAUUUAUUGAAGACUAACUACUGCGAAAGCAUUUGCCAAGGAUGUUUUCAUUAAUCAAGAACGAAAGUUAGGGGAUCGAAGACGAUCAGAUACCAUCGUAGUCUUAACCAUAAACUAUGCCGACUAGGGAUCGGAUGAUGUUAAUUUUUUAAUGACUCAUUCGGCGCCUUACG
rnacentral:rRNA from 1 species